GAUCAUUGCUGGCGGCGUGCCUAAUACAUGCAAGUCGAGCGAACAGACAAGGAGCUUGCUCCUUUGACGUUAGCGGCGGACGGGUGAGUAACACGUGGGUAACUUACCUAUAAGACUGGGAUAACUUCGGGAAACCGGAGCUAAUACCGGAUAAUAUUUCGAACCGCAUGGUUCGAUAGUGAAAGAUGGUUUUGCUAUCACUUAUAGAUGGACCCGCGCCGUAUUAGCUAGUUGGUAAGGUAACGGCUUACCAAGGCGACGAUACGUAGCCGACCUGAGAGGGUGAUCGGCCACACUGGAACUGAGACACGGUCCAGACUCCUACGGGAGGCAGCAGUAGGGAAUCUUCCGCAAUGGGCAAAAGCCUGACGGAGCAACGCCGCGUGAGUGAUGAAGGUCUUCGGAUCGUAAAACUCUGUUAUUAGGGAAGAACAUACAUGUAAGUAACUAUGCACGUCUUGACGGUACCUAAUCAGAAAGCCACGGCUAACUACGUGCCAGCAGCCGCGGUAAUACGUAGGUGGCAAGCGUUAUCCGGAAUUAUUGGGCGUAAAGCGCGCGUAGGCGGUUUUUUAAGUCUGAUGUGAAAGCCCACGGCUCAACCGUGGAGGGUCAUUGGAAACUGUAAAACUUGAGUGCAGAAGAGGAAAGUGGAAUUCCAUGUGUAGCGGUGAAAUGCGCAGAGAUAUGGAGGAACACCAGUGGCGAAGGCGACUUUCUGGUCUGUAACUGACGCUGAUGUGCGAAAGCGUGGGGAUCAAACAGGAUUAGAUACCCUGGUAGUCCACGCCGUAAACGAUGAGUGCUAAGUGUUAGGGGGUUUCCGCCCCUUAGUGCUGCAGCUAACGCAUUAAGCACUCCGCCUGGGGAGUACGACCGCAAGGUUGAAACUCAAAGGAAUUGACGGGGACCCGCACAAGCGGUGGAGCAUGUGGUUUAAUUCGAAGCAACGCGAAGAACCUUACCAAAUCUUGACAUCCUUUGACAACUCUAGAGAUAGAGCCUUCCCCUUCGGGGGACAAAGUGACAGGUGGUGCAUGGUUGUCGUCAGCUCGUGUCGUGAGAUGUUGGGUUAAGUCCCGCAACGAGCGCAACCCUUAAGCUUAGUUGCCAUCAUUAAGUUGGGCACUCUAAGUUGACUGCCGGUGACAAACCGGAGGAAGGUGGGGAUGACGUCAAAUCAUCAUGCCCCUUAUGAUUUGGGCUACACACGUGCUACAAUGGACAAUACAAAGGGCAGCGAAACCGCGAGGUCAAGCAAAUCCCAUAAAGUUGUUCUCAGUUCGGAUUGUAGUCUGCAACUCGACUACAUGAAGCUGGAAUCGCUAGUAAUCGUAGAUCAGCAUGCUACGGUGAAUACGUUCCCGGGUCU
rnacentral:rRNA from 1 species